rnacentral:rRNA from 1 species
GAUGAACGCUGGCGGCGUGCCUAACACAUGCAAGUCGAGCGAUUUACUUCGGUAAAGAGCGGCGGACGGGUGAGUAACGCGUGGGUAACCUGCCCUGUACACACGGAUAACAUACCGAAAGGUAUGCUAAUACGAGAUAAUAUGCUUUUAUCGCAUGGUAGAAGUAUCAAAGCUUUUGCGGUACAGGAUGGACCCGCGUCUGAUUAGCUAGUUGGUGAGGUAACGGCUCACCAAGGCGACGAUCAGUAGCCGACCUGAGAGGGUGAUCGGCCACAUUGGAACUGAGACACGGUCCAAACUCCUGCGGGAGGCAGCAGUGGGGAAUAUUGCACAAUGGGCGAAAGCCUGAUGCAGCAACGCCGCGUGAGCGAUGAAGGCCUUCGGGUCGUAAAGCUCUGUCCUCAAGGAAGAUAAUGACGGUACUUGAGGAGGAAGCCCCGGCUAACUACGUG